rnacentral:rRNA from 1 species
AGUUGCGAACGGGUGAGUAACGCGUAGGUAACCUGCCUGGUAGCGGGGGAUAACUAUUGGAAACGAUAGCUAAUACCGCAUGAUAUUGAUUAUCGCAUGAUAAUUGAUUGAAAGAUGCAAUUGCAUCACUACCAGAUGGACCUGCGUUGUAUUAGCUAGUUGGUGAGGUAACGGCUCACCAAGGCGACGAUACAUAGCCGACCUGAGAGGGUGAUCGGCCACACUGGGACUGAGACACGGCCCAGACUCCUACGGGAGGCAGCAGUAGGGAAUCUUCGGCAAUGGGGGGAACCCUGACCGAGCAACGCCGCGUGAGUGAAGAAGGUUUUCGGAUCGUAAAGCUCUGUUGUAAGAGAAGAACGGGUGUGAGAGUGGAAAGUUCACACUGUGACGGUAUCUUACCAGAAAGGGACGGCUAACUACGUGCCAGCAGCCGCGGUAAUACGUAGGUCCCGAGCGUUGUCCGGAUUUAUUGGGCGUAAAGCGAGCGCAGGCGGUUAGAUAAGUCUGAAGUUAAAGGCUGUGGCUUAACCAUAGUAUGCUUUGGAAACUGUUUAACUUGAGUGCAGAAGGGGAGAGUGGAAUUCCAUGUGUAGCGGUGAAAUGCGUAGAUAUAUGGAGGAACACCGGUGGCGAAAGCG